CGUGGAGCUAAUGCUCUGGUAGGGAGCACACAUUGAAUAAAUAAUUGCGGGAAACAUUAAUUUGUUCUAAAUGAGAUAUAUGCUGCAAAGGACAACAGAGGCUGCUGGGAGAGGGUGUCAGCAGGGAACCAGCUGAAGUCGUCAACUGAAUCUUCGCCACAACUUUGCUGCAUGUCCACCCUGAUGCUAUCUUCUCUCCUCUUGCUGCUGCAAACCGAUACAAGUCAUAGCCCCAAGGAACAGAUGAGUCAGUGCUUGCAAGGCUGCACGUCCCCAGGUGAGUCGCUGGAAGGAUGCCCGGCACGCGUAUAGUGGGUGCUCUCCAAAUAUGUGACGAAUAUGAACAGAACAGGAAGGAAGGAGAACUGUCACCUGGACUCCAUCUGUUGGAGUUGAAGACACUGUUCGCUGUGCUGACUGCUGUCUGUUGAGGCCCUUCAGUGACUUGGGUAGAUCGAGUGUGGUGAUAAGAUCUCCAGCUCUACCCCCACCCCUCCGCCAACAGGCAGUAGCAUGCUGGAUAAAUAGCAGGUCAUCUCCCCUCCACGCUGCCCUGAGUCCUGCAUAUGAGUGCCCCUGCUGCUCCCCCUGCGGCCAAGGCAUGAUUUCCACCCAGGGGAAAGCGAAGACGCCUCUUUUGGCCUCGGAUCCCAGCCAAGUCUUCAGUCGGCCUUCUCGGCAAGAACACCGUUCCUGUGAUCUUUAAUUCUCUGUGUGUUAUGUCUCCCUUGGUUUGGAAUCCAGAGGGGAGGAGCAGUGUGGGUUGUUAACACCCUCAAAUCCCCAAUGCUGUGGAGAAACCCAGGAAGCCAAAUGCCGAGUUCAAGCGUCAGUAACACUUUCCCUGUUUCCCUUGUCUUGAGCUGCUGUUAAUUCACAAGAUCAGAAUUUAACACCGAGAAUGUACCU
rnacentral:lncRNA from 1 species